CGGCACGCCUAACACAUGCAAGUCGAACGAAGUAGCAAUACUUAGUGGCAGACGGGUGAGUAACAUGUAGGUAUCUACCCUUUGGCCUGGAAUAACACGAGGAAACUUGUGCUAAUACCGGAUAAGUCUUUACGGAGAAAGCUUUAUGCACCAUUGGAUGAGCCUGCACUUGAUUAGUUUGUUGGUAGGGUAAUGGCCUACCAAGACUAUGAUCAAUAGCUGAUUUGAGAGGAUGAUCAGCCACAUUGGGACUGAGACACGGCCCAAACUCCUACGGGAGGCAGCAGUGGGGAAUCUUGCACAAUGGAGGAAACUCUGAUGCAGCGAUGCCGCGUGAGUGAAGAAGGCCCUUGGGUUGUAAAGCUCUUUCGUCGGGGAAGAAAAUGACUGUACCCGAAUAAGAAGGUCCG
rnacentral:rRNA from 1 species